rnacentral:lncRNA from 1 species
UUUCCUCAAGGCACAGCGAUAUGGGAGAAUAGUGAGCAAUUGUUGUGGGAAGGGCAUGGAGAUCAGGAUCGAGGCUGAAAUCUCCAGAGAAGUCUAGAGCCAGUGUUUGUCAAGUCUUUAGCCUUUUGGAUCCUGCGAUUGAACAUGUGAGGUUUUUGCAAGAGGGGCGUUUCUGCCAUAUGAUCAAGGAAGAGAUUAGCGAUCUGGAGAGCUCAGAGAGUUUCUAAACACUAGCUCCAGUACCAACAGAAAGGAACCCAUGAUCGAGGCCAUCACCGGAUCUGCGAGCCAAACGAGUCACUGAUGUGAAUAGAAAAGCUUGGAUGAAUCUUUUCUUUCUUUUGUGCUUCUUCCGAGCUGCUGCUUUCUAAAUGCAAUGAAUCAUGAGAUAGAAAUGGGUCUCUAAAACGCCCAAAUGAUUCUUGCACUUCGGGACGCGCUGCAAAGAGAAAAGAGCCCACCAAUCGGUUCCUCGCCGGAAGCGACUACAUUAUUCUGCUUCAUCAGUACCCCUAAAGGAGAAGAGGAAUCUCAAGAUCUAUUUCAAAGGGAAAGCAAAGACAAGGAGCCAGGAAAUCUAUGACGCUGUAGACUUGGCCGUUUGGAUUUGCUGCCACUGGGUUGGCCUUUGGGAGCAGCCAACCCAAGGGCAGCAUGCUGGGUUUGCGCAAACCCAGACGGCCAAGUCUACAACAGCAGCUAUCCCCACCGCUACCAGGACAAGCGGUGGGAUAAAGUAGAAGAUCCUGCUUAUCACCCUUCCAACUCCCCCACUAGCGCUGCCACCUGACCCAGUAGAGCUGGUUCGAUCAGUUUCAGUCCGUCCUCUUCGCAGCCGUAACCACAACGUUGUGGUUACGACUGCGAAGAGGAGAUGCUUGUGGACUGAAACUGAUGGGUCAAAAGCUUGCCCGAGUGGCAGUGGUGCUUAAAGCACUCACAUCGAUCUGUGCACGAGAGAAACAAUGGCCACACAAUCAAUCCCAAAAGGAGAGCUAGAAUGAGCACUACGUAGUGACUUACCUGAAAUGGUUGCGAGCACUACUCGCAAGAGGGAGUGAGAGCCACUAGAUAGA